AGUUCAAGGUCAAAGGUUGCUCAAUGCCUUAGAAGCGAAAGAUCAUGUACACACAUCAAUACCCAAAUCGGUGCUCCACCCAGGCGAGGACCUGGGACAACCAGACAUUGGCUACUGAUGAGUCAGCAGGGCAGCAAGGCAACUGACAUUUCAAAUAGGCGCGUAAAGGACUCCUAUACAGUAGUUAGUGGGUGUAAUGUCGCUACCCUACCCGCAACAGUGCAUCAAUAUGAAAAUACCAUCUCUCGAUGGAGGAAGGAUUGGCCCAGUCCAGUUGUUAAUGAGAGAGGUAUCAACUUAUAGUCUUCAAGUCUAUCUUAUAGAUGCUCGCGGACCCGCAUGUCUAGUUUCCUGCAGGAGGAGUGUCCAAAGAAAUUGUAGCCCGGGGAGUUGAGUCUCUCUCUCUCUCUCUCUCUCUCUCUCUCUCUCUCUCUCUCUCUCUCUCUCUCAUACGGGUAUAUUUGCAUUUUCAAAGUUGUAUAGAUUUUGAGAGUUCACCCCCAUCCUACUCUCGACGUGGUUCGGAAGUCACCUAAAGCCGUUGGUCCCGUUGCUGAAUAACCACUGGUUCCAUGCAACGUAAAAGCACCAU